AUGUCUAUGUGGCUCAUGAAUAAAACCUUCAUUGAGAGGCUAGAUAAACACAGACGCAGGUUCUUUUGGCAAGGUUGCAACAAAAAAAGGAGAUACUAUCUUGUUAAGUGGAGCAAGAUAUGUAGAUCCAAAGACAAAGGGGGGUUAGGUAUAGAAGAUCUUAGAAAGCAAAAUAUUAGCCUCAUGGUUAAAUGGUGGUGGAAGUUAGAGACACAAAACGGGCUAUGGCAGGAUAUAGUCCGGGCCAGGUAUCUUCGCAACACCUCUGUUGCUGAAGUUUCUCCCAAAUUCUCCAACUCGCCCUGUUGGAAAGCCUUGCUCAAGAUUAAAAACAUAUAUAUGAUGGGCAAAAAGAUUGAAACUGGUGCUGGGAACUUGAUUAGACUGUGGAAAGAUCCAAUAAAUGGGCUGAUCCCAUUUCAGGAUCAAUAG
rnacentral:rRNA from 1 species